GCCUUUGUAGCUCAAUUGGAUAGAGCAGUUCCGUCCUAAGGAAAAGGUUGUGGGUUCGAGUCCCGCCAAGGGCACCA
rnacentral:tRNA from 1 species